UACGUAGGGUGCAAGCGUUAAUCGGAAUUACUGGGCGUAAAGCGUGCGCAGGCGGCUUUGCAAGACAGAUGUGAAAUCCCCGGGCUUAACCUGGGAACUGCAUUUGUGACUGCAUGGCUGGAGUGCGGCAGAGGGGGAUGGAAUUCCGGCGUGUAGCAGUGAAAUGCGUAGAUAUGCGGAGGAACACCGAUGGCGAAGGCAGCCCCCUGGGCUAACACUGACGCUCAUGCACGAAAGCGUGGGGAGCAAACAGG
rnacentral:rRNA from 1 species